AUACUUUAUUGUUCUUCUUGCCGUGGUCGAGAGUGACUACAAGUUCGUGAACGUCAACGUUGGUGCUUACGACAAACAGAGUGAUGGUGGAGUCCUGGAGCAAUCAAAGUUCGGGUGUCGCUUGGAGAAUGGAAAGCUUCAUAUCCCGCGAGACCUAGAACUUCCGAACACGUUCCACCCAGUGCUUUGCGUUUUUGUGGGAGACGGAGCCUUCCAACUCCGCAGCGACUUUCUACGGCCAUACCUUGGACGAGGGCUAGACGGCGAAAAGCGCAUCUUCGAUUACCGAUUGAGCAGAGCAAGGAGGUGUUCUGAGAGCGCUUCGGGAUUCUGGUGACCAGGUGGAGAAUCUUCGCGCGGACCAUGGGCCAAAAACCGAAACAAGCUGAAAAGAUCGUGAAGGCCCUCGUUGCUCUCCACAACUUUCUAAUGCACUGAGGCACUGUAGAUGUUGAUGCAUCAAUCAAUCAAUCAAUCAAUCAAUAAAGCUUUAUUUUCAUAAAUAGA